rnacentral:misc_RNA from 1 species
AGGGUCGAUUUAAAAAUAAAACCAAAAAGUGCUGUCAAGAAUCUGUCUCAUUGCUUAAUCGUGUUGAGGAUAAAUGUAACAAAAUGCCUGCCACGAACUCUUGUUGUUAAAAUAGGAGGUUGCCUUGAGAUGAUAUAUGACAUGUUCACUGCCAUCGUCGAGCUGUUUAGCUUGAUUAGAAUAAAGAGCAGAGUGUCGCGAUCUUAUAGUGCGACGAAAGGCCAUUAAUGUGAAAGGUGUAUGGAUACGGAUUUGUUGUGCUCACUGAAAAAAGUAAAAACAAGGCAGGAAUUGUACUUGAGUUUCAACAAUGAAAUAUUCAUGCAUCCCAUACUAUUGGUUCUUUGUAACGUUGCAUAAUAAUGACGACUCACUGCUAGAAGCCUCGUGCUUCAACAAAUCUAUUGCAAUGUAAAAGUUGUAAUACAAAAAUCAGUAGCGACCUC